rnacentral:rRNA from 1 species
UUUAACGGCCGCAGUAUUUUGACUGUGCUAAGGUAGCAUAAUCAUUAGUUUUUUAAUUGAGAGCUGGUAUGAAGGGUUGGAUGAAAAAGUAACUGUCUCUUAUUAAAUUAAGUUGAAUUUUAUUUUUAAGUUAAAAAGCUUAGAUAUUAUUAAAAGACGAGAAGACCCUAUAGAGUUUAAUAUUUUUACUUAUUUUUUUUGUUUAGGAAUAAUUUAAAUAUUUAAUAGAAGUAUUUAGUUGGGGUGAUUAAAAAAUUUAAUGAACUUUUUUUUUAUUAGAAUAUUAUUAUAUAAAUAAUUGAUCUUUUUUUUAUGAUUAUAAGAUAAAAUUACCUUAGGGAUAACAGCGUAAUUUUAUUGGAGAGUU